GUUUGUUCCUGGAACAAAUGGGACCUAUCUAAACUUGCAAGGAAAGGCUAAGGUUUUAGGUAAUAUAAUACACACCUUGGCCUUUUGUUAUUCUCAGCCCUUUCCUCUUUGUUAUGUUCCUAUGGAUAAAUAAAUCUUUGUUCGAAGAGAUUGUUCUGCGUCACUGCAUUGUUAUACUGAUCUUAGACCCCCUCCAUAGAAAAGUCUAUAGCAGAGGCCAAAACCCAGCUGGAUCUGCUGAGGAAUCACAGUUGCUGAGCAGGGUGAUGUCAUCUAGAGAUAGUGUGGUGAAAUUCAGGAUUCCAUCUUGAGAGAAGAACAGCCAUGGGCCUAUCAUGUGGAAGAGAUACCCACAGGGAUCAAAGCAUAGGUACGGUGGAGUUUCCCAGCCUUCCCACCUCAAUAUGACAUCCAGAAAAAAUAGACUGAGUUGAAAAGUUUUGAAUGAAACAUUUUCUGGAGGAAUAUAGAAAAUGGAAUGAGGACAAUCUGUAUCUGCUCUAGCAACAUCUUUGAGAGACAGGACAAGGAGAAGAGACCCUGGCACCUGCCCAGCCUAAUCCCUUUGCACUGCAUCAAGAUGACAUGGAUUGACCUGUGCUAAGGAUUUCUUCCAAAAUUCUUUUCCUGUAGAGCAAAGCAAUGAACGCAAUGCGACUUCAUUGAGACAAAGGCUAGGCAACAUCUUUAUCCUCUCAGAUGUGGACCACUGCAAGCACUAUAAAGGGAAGCCUUUGAAAUACUAUAGUGCAAAAGUAAGGACUAAUUGAUACAAUUAGCACCAACAGCACAGUAAUUGGAUAACCUCUUCCUUGGAUGACUGACGGACUGUAUCCAGAGUGUUUCUCUGGAGGAUCCAAGGACGGUGAAUCAUAGCAGCAGAUAGAAAACGUCACCCUGAGAGACAAAACAUGGCCAACUGAAACAGAGACUCCACCACAGACUCAGAAGCAACUCCUACACAUCUAACAGAAGCAGAGAGAGAACUGAAGCCAGAGGCUCUUCCAGUGAACCUGAUCCUGAAUCUCUUCUCCCUUUUCAGCACUAAACUGCAUUGUCUUAAUCUGGGACUAUGAUUUAUCUGGGAAAUUCCUAGUGGGUGGCAGAGGUGGGAAAGGGGGCUACUUAAAGCUCCCCAGAGCUGCAGGCUGAGGUAAAUAGCGUGUCAUAACACAUUUAUCAAAUGAUAACAAAAACCAUACAAAUAUAUACAAGAGGGAGGAGGGAACCCAUUCCCCACUGGGAAGUUACUGAACAUUUUGACCAGUUUAAAAAAGUGUGUGUGUCUGUUUGCGGUGGCAGGGGGUGGGAGGAUUUCACUGGCUUCACCUCUGCAAUAAAUCAUUAGUCUGGGAAGCCUGAGCAGACAACUGAAAUGGAUGAUCCCAUUAUGGAUCAAGGUGGUGGUAUUCCUGUCCUGGGGAGUUUGAGAGAGACCACCCAAGCACUGUGGGACAGGGAUGAGACUGUCAGUUCUGCCUGUGGAGCUUUGAAAGGAUCAAUCUGCAGCCUCUGACGUGGUGGGAAGGGGAAUAAAAUAAUUAAUGGUGCUUCUCGAAUAGCGGGCAUGACAUUAGUCAUUUGUUUGAACAAAUCCCUCCAUCAGUCUCAUUUGGAUUCUGGUAUUUUUCCUUCCCCUUGCAUGGAUUGUCAAUGUUGAUAAAGAAGGAAUGCAAAGUGAGGUAAAAUAUCUUUUGGAGGUAUGCAACAGUUACGCAUAUAUUGGAAAUAUGUUGACACAACAAAUUCCAAGAGGAUAAAAUAUAAAUGCUAUAUCAUUUAAAUGUUAUAAGUACAUGCCACUCUGUUUACAAUGUAAGGGCCAGAUUUGAAACCCUCACUGACAAUGAGUAGUAUCUUACUUCAUAAGUAGCCUCAUUGAAAUCAGUGGGGACUACUCAUGGAAUAACAUACUACUUAACAUGAAUAUGGCUUUCAGAAUCUGGCCUCAUAUUACAAGAUAAUACGGAGAUACACAGGGCAUCAGAGAGAAUGGAAUGGAAUGGUGUUAAUUAUCUACCUAAAUACAUGUAUGAGUCCAGAUUCCAAUAGGGGAGAGGGAGAGAAUUUUGGAUUCAGCUUCUUUACGAUACUGGAGUGCAGUUGGGUGCAUAACAUACUGCAAUAAUUCCUGAAGCUUUGCCAGUCCACUUCUGUUGAUACAGGGUAUGAAUUUGGGAGUACGUGGGAGUUCCUUCCAUUAAACAUUAUAAAGAAAGCUGAUCAGAAUUUCUUAUCAAAGUUUUUGUCAUAAAAAUGACCUUUUCUUAAAUAAAACCAA